UUGGGCGUAAGAGCUCGUAGGCGGUCUGUCGCGUCGGCUGUGAAAACCCGGAGCUCAACUCCGGGCCUGCAGUCGAUACGGGCAAACUGGAGUGUUGCAGGGGAGACUGGAAUUCCUGGUGUAGCGGUGAAAUGCGCAGAUAUCAGGAGGAACACCGGUGGCGAAGGCGGGUCUCUGGGCAACAACUGACGCUGAGGAGCGAAAGCGUGGGGAGCGAACAGGAUUAGAUACCCUGGUAGUCCACGCCGUAAACGUUGGGCGCUAGGUGUGGGGCUCAUUCCACGAGUUCCGUGCCGCAGCUAACGCAUUAAGCGCCCCGCCUGGGGAGUACGGCCGCAAGGCUAAAACUCAAAGGAAUUGACGGGGGCCCGCACAAGCGGCGGAGCAUGUUGCUUAAUUCGAUGCAACGCGAAGAACCUUACCUAGGCUUGACAUGCACGGAAAUCUCCCAGAGAUGGGGGGUCCGUAAGGGCCGUGCACAGGUGGUGCAUGGUUGUCGUCAGCUCGUGUCGUGAGAUGUUGGGUUAAGUCCCGCAACGAGCGCAACCCUCGUCCUAUGUUGCCAGCACGUCAUGGUGGGGACUCAUAGGAGACUGCCGGGGUCAACUCGGAGGAAGGUGGGGAUGA
rnacentral:rRNA from 1 species